GCUAUCAUUCUGAUGAGCAUCCAUUUUACAGUCAGUGGAGCCGAGGAGCACUGGUUAAAACUUUUGGAGGAAAACAGGACGUAUAAAGCAGAGUUUUCACCAAACAGCUUCGCUCAGUGUCCAACGUUACCAGCUGAUCACUCAUGAACUCCUGUAGAGGUAUGUGAGUUUCAGGAGCUCUCUGGUGACAGUUUUCACACCAGCAUUAACGAACCAAUCAGAA